rnacentral:rRNA from 1 species
UACGGAGGGUGCAAGCGUUGUCCGGAAUCACUGGGCGUAAAGGGCGCGUAGGCGGCUCAUGAAGGCUGUGGUGAAAGUCCGGGGCUCAACCUCGGAUCGGCCGUGGCGACUCGUGGGCUGGAGCACUGUAGAGGCGGGUGGAAUUCCGGGUGUAGCGGUGGAAAUGUGUAGAGAUCGGGAGGAACACCGGUGGCGAAGGCGGGUCUCUGGGGCAAUUCCUGACGCUGAGGCGCGAAAGCGUGGGGAGCAAACGGG